rnacentral:rRNA from 1 species
CUGGGGAGUACGGUCGCAAGGCUGAAACUUAAAGGAAUUGGCGGGGGAGCACAGCAACGAGAGGAGCGUGCGGUUUAAUUGGAUUCAACGCCGGAAAACUCACCAGAGCCGACGGACAUAUGAAGAUCAGCGUGAUGAGCUUAUUGGAUUGUUCGAGAGGUAGUGCAUGGCCGUCGUCAGUUCGUACCGUAAGGCGUUCUGUUAAGUCAGAUAACGAACGAGACCCCUAUCGUCUAUUUGCUAAAUGGAUCUCCGGAUUCAUUGCACUAUAGCGAGACCGCUGGCGUGAAGUCAGAGGAAGGUGGGGGCAACGACAGGUCAGUAUGCUCCGAAUGCUCUGGGCUACACGCGCGCUACAAAGGCCAGGACAAUGGGUCUGCCACUUCGAGAGAAGGCGCUAUCCCGAAACCUGGUCGUAGUUCGGAUCGUGGGCUGUAAUUCGCCCACGUGAAGCUGGAUUUCGUAGUAAUCGCGUCUCAAAAUGGCGCGGUGAAUAUGCCCCUGCUCCUUGCACACACCGCCCGUCAAACCAUCUUAGUUUGGGGUGGGUGAGGCUGCCUUUAA